rnacentral:tRNA from 1 species
GCCGGGAUAGCUCAGUUCGUAGAGCAGGGGACUGAAAGUCCUCGUGU